GAUGAACGCUGGCGGUGUGCCUAAUACAUGCAAGUCGAGCGAACAGAUAAGGAGCUUGCUCCUUUGACGUUAGCGGCGGACGGGUGAGUAACACGUGGGUAACCUACCUAUAAGACUGGAAUAACUCCGGGAAACCGGGGCUAAUGCCGGAUAACAUUUAGAACCGCAUGGUUCUAAAGUGAAAGAUGGUUUUGCUAUCACUUAUAGAUGGACCCGCGCCGUAUUAGCUAGUUGGUAAGGUAACGGCUUACCAAGGCAACGAUACGUAGCCGACCUGAGAGGGUGAUCGGCCACACUGGAACUGAGACACGGUCCAGACUCCUACGGGAGGCAGCAGUAGGGAAUCUUCCGCAAUGGGCGAAAGCCUGACGGAGCAACGCCGCGUGAGAGAUGAAGGUCUUCGGAUCGUAAAACUCUGUUAUUAGGGAAGAACAAAUGUGUAAGUAACUGUGCACGUCUUGACGGUACCUAAUCAGAAAGCCACGGCUAACUACGUG
rnacentral:rRNA from 1 species